CACCUGCCCCAAAGUUGGGUUCCUGGGAGAGCUACAGGCUCUGUUGCUAAGCAGAAUCAGGGUCAUGUGUUGUCAUGGAGAUGCAGCAACAGGCCUCAGAGGGGGAGGAGUCAUAAUAGGGAGAUGUAUGCUUCAGAGAGGAGGGGUGACAACAGCACAUGCUCCUUUACCCACACUGCCACAGGAGAGCCUGACGGUCACAGCCAUCAGCCUAGGGGAUGCCAGCUGACACUGCUGCAGCUGCAGGGAUUAAGAGGCCUGGGGCUGAUGGACCAAGAGCUGAAGACACCUGGAUUCCCUGAGUGAGUGGGAGUGGGGCCAGGUGCCUGGAUGCAUGAUCUGUGGAGAGAAGACCAGAACCAGGCCAGCAUCAUGAAGGUGAUGACAGAGCUCAGAGUGUGAGUGACAGACACUGGAACCCUUUGGCUUGCUGCUCCAGGUGGGCAGUAUAGACAAGGAGGUUCACCUUCUCCUGCUGCCCUGAGAUCAGCUUCCUAUUACUGAGAUUAUUUUUCCUAAAAGUGAAAUGGGAAUCAAUGCUGGGCUACUGUCAACAGCUCAGGGAGAUUGGGUCUAGAGAGUCCUGGGUUCUAUUCCAAACCUACAGGGACUGGAGUUGGAAGACACUACCACUUACUGGAUCUCAGGCCCUGACAGGCAAAUGCCUCUGCAUCAAAUCCACCUAGGUGCAAGGAUUGGGGCCCAGGAUGACACCACAACCCUCAGGAAGUCCUUUGAGGCCCCAUGCUGCCCGCCUGUUAGUGAGGCCAUACAACUCCCCAAAGAAGGAAAAGAAACUCCUUCCUUCCAGACAGAAGCCCCAGAACAGAGCUGCCCCCGUGAUAAGUGCAUAUGGGGUAACAGAGCUGAGAAUGGGGCUGGUGGAUCAGCAGGUUGCACCCAUUGGAAGCCCCAGCAUUUUCCCCAUCCAGUGUCCAGCUCUGGGGACAGACCCAGAAGAAAGCAAGGACAGUCUGGAAGAAAACUUUGUUCCACAAAAUAGCCAUUCCACCUUAACAGACUUGUCACAGUGAAGACCAUGAAAAACACACAUGUGUCCGUAGGAGUUAAGGGGGUUGUGGGAAUUUGCAAAGGAUGACUGCAAGAAAAUAAAAUAAAAAUAAAAGAAUUAGCAGGCAUGGUAGUGCGUGCUUGUAAUCCCAGUACUCUAGGAGGCUGAGGCAGAAAGAUCAAAAGUUUUAGGCCAGCCGGGCCACUUAGCUACUCAGGAAGACCCUGUGUCAAAAUACAAAAUAGACAAGGGCCUGGA
rnacentral:lncRNA from 1 species